rnacentral:rRNA from 1 species
GCAGUGGAGACAUUGUCCUUCAGUUAGGCUGGCCCCAGAACAGGUGCUGCAUGGCUGUCGUCAGCUCGUGUCGUGAGAUGUUGGGUUAAGUCCCGCAACGAGCGCAACCCUCGCCCUUAGUUGCCAGCAUUUAGUUGGGCACUCUAAGGGGACUGCCGGUGAUAAGCCGAGAGGAAGGUGGGGAUGACGUCAAGUCCUCAUGGCCCUUACGGGCUGGGCUACACACGUGCUACAAUGGUGGUGACAGUGGGCAGCGAGACAGCGAUGUCGAGCUAAUCUCCAAAAGCCAUCUCAGUUCGGAUUGCACUCUGCAACUCGAGUGCAUGAAGUUGGAAUCGCUAGUAAUCGCAGAUCAGC